AUACAGGAGCCAGUAAUAAAAGAUGGAAAACGGUCAACCCCAACCAUUCCAUUGAGAACCAGACGAACCUAUGGCAUCAGUCCAAUUUUCAGUGUCUUCUUUUUCCAAGCCCUUAAACUCAUCAUCAGUCUCCAACAAAAACCCUACCAUCUUCAAUCUACUAUGUAAUCCCCAACACCUCAAAACAACACUAUCCCCACAACCCCUCUUUCUCAAAUCCACUCCUCCCAUUUCUCAUCUCUUUAUCAGGUCCCUAAAAACCCCACAAUGUCGUAUUUCUUCAACUCCAAUCACUUCCCUCUUUACCGGCAUAGUUGAAGAAAUGGGUCAAAUCAAACAACUCGGUUACACCCAACCCGACAGUUUCACCAUGAUAAUCCAGGCUAAACUCAUUCUUGAUGACAUCAACCUAGGCGACAGCAUUUCUGUCAAUGGUACUUGUUUGACUGUUGCUGAUUUCGAUACCCAAAAGUUGGAAUUCAGUGUUGGAUUGGCUCCUGAAACACUUAGAAAGACUUCUUUAAUUGAAUUGGAAAAAGGGUCUUUGGUUAAUUUGGAAAGGGCUUUAAGACCUAGUACUAGAAUGGGUGGUCAUUUUGUGCAAGGACAUGUUGAUGGUACUGGUGAGAUUGUUGAGCUUAAAACUGAAGGGGAUUCUUUAUGGGUUAAAGUGAAGACUGGGAAAGAAAUUUUGAGGUAUAUUGUGCCUAAAGGAUUUAUUGCUGUGGAUGGGACUAGUUUGACUGUAGUUGAUGUGUUUGACGAUGAGGAGUGUUUUAAUUUUAUGUUGGUGGCUUACACUCAGCAAAAUGUGGUGAUUCCAAUGAAGAAAGUGGGACAGAAGGUUAAUCUUGAGGUGGAUAUAUUGGGAAAGUAUGUGGAGAGGCUUCUUAGUAGUGGCUUUGUGGAUUCCAUCAAAUCUUCAUGAUAAAGGUUCUAUCAGGUGUAUUUCUGGAUAAUGUUUCAAUAAAAUAAUUCUUUGAUCAAGGGUUUUUACUUCUCUUUUCAUCGACUUCCGGUGCCUCUCUCUUGGGUGAGUUCUUCUUCUUCCUCCUCUUUGCUUCUUCUUCCUAUUUCUUAAUUAAUGCUUUAAUUCUGAUUUUAAUAAACUAUUCUCUCUUUAUCUUCACUGUUGUUUUUGGUUAGUUGAAUAUGGUUGUUGUUAAUUUGCUAUAUAUGAAGAAAAUAUUGAAUUUUUAGAGGUUUUUUAGGUGUCUCUUUUGACCUUUUUACUGUUGUUUCUGGUUUAGCUGAAUAUGGUUGUUCGUUAAUUGCUAUUGAUGAAGUAAAGAUUGAACUUUUAGAGGUUUUUCUGAUGGCUCUUAUGACCUUUUGACCUUUUUUUUUUUGGUUAACUGAAUAUGGUUGUUUGUUAAUUACUAUAUAUGAAGAAAAGAUUGAACUUUUAGAGGUUUUACUGAUGUCUCUUUUUGACUUUUUGACUGUUCUUUUUGGUUAGAUAAAUAUGGUUGUUGUUAAUUUGCUAUAUAUGAAGAAAAGAUUGAAUUUUUAGAGGUUUUUCUGAUGGCUCUUUUGACUUUGUGACUGUUGUUUUUGGUUAGUUGAAUAUGGUUGUUUGUUAAUUGCUAUCUAUGUAUUAAAGAUUGAAUUUUUAGAGGUUUUUCUGAUGUCUCUUUUGUCUUUUUGACUGUUAUUUCUGGUUUAGCUGAGCUGCUGAGGUUGUUGUUAAUUUUAUGAGGAAAAGCUUGAAUUUUUCUUCAGUGUAUUGUAUUGGUACAUUAUGCAGGCGGAAGUAAUGAAUGAGUUACAAGUGAUCUAUUUUUUCUAUGCCUGGUAAUUUGUAAAAUGGGUAGACCAUUAACUUUAAAAAAGGGAGCCUUUUUAAAAAAAAAAAAAAAAAUUAAUUCUGGAAAGAGGGGCUUUUCCACAUUUUUUUUUGGUUUAUUUGAUAUGCUAAUGAGCUAUUUCAUUUUCAUAUCAGUUUAAAGUUCUUGAUUUGUGGAAGCCUGAGGGUGUGGGUGUAUGCACCCUUCCAUUGAAUUCCAUGUAGUAAGGGGAGAAUCUUUGAGUUUUGAAGUGAAAUCUUGAUGUGUUUAGAGUUGAAUAAUAAUUAUUUGAGUAUUUUAUGAACUUGGCAUGGAGUUCUUCCGAGAGCUUUUGAAUAUUGUUGAAUAUGGGACAUGUUGGAGCCCUUUAUUGAAUUUCAAUAAUGAAUUGUGACAGUCUUUUAACUUUUAGUUCUUCUUCAUUCAUAUUUAGAUGCUUGAAUCCACAAGUCAGUUGUUUUAGUUUUUGAAAGCUGGUUCAGAGUUUGCUUUUUUCUUUUCUACUAUAUAGAAGAGUGGGUUUGGAGGCAGGAUCGUCGACAUGCCUGUUUUGACAUGUCAAGGGUAUUUUGGUCCUUUCAUGUUUUGUUUAUUCAACGUGGCUUCAGAACCUACAGCCAACACACCGUUUAAUUCAUCUCAGAAGGGUUCUACACUUUUUCUUUUGGUUCUGAUCAGAUCUAUCUCAGAUUGAUUAUUCAGGUUCUCUGAUAUACUUCUCGGUGCUGAUUAUUAUCUUCCAUUUUUUAUCUGAACAAAGAAAAUUCUCUAGCCGGUUCCUACCCCAAGAGUUUUUUCUUAUGGCUGAAUGGGAAAAUAUUGAGGAAGUUCUUGAUGCAGGCUAAACCUCAGAAUGCUACCUUUUGGGAAGCUGCAAUAUCCUUUUUGAAACCUGAUUGAAGAAAAACCAAGGAUAUAUGUGACAGACGAGUCAAGGUACAAGACUUGCACUUCCAUCUUGCAAUAAAAAGCCGCAAGUCUGCGGAGUGAUGUUUCCCCGCAUGGUGAAAAUCCAUUUUCAGUGAAGACAACUGAAAAUGAUCAGGUGUUACUAUGGUGUGAGUAUGUGACAUGCUUAUGUAUUAUUCCUUAGUUCAAGUCAUAUUGUGGAAAGAAUGAUUAAAGCCCAAGUUUCCAAGAAUCAAUGUAAACUCAGUCUUCUGUCUCUGAUUCGGUGUUGAUUAUAUGUGGAGAAACCGUCUCAAAGGGGAAGUGUUGAGCUUCCAUCUUCUCUUCUGAUUAUUCUGAAAGAGGAAUCUGUUUAGAGGUUAAUGACCUGUGUGGAUAAACCAUUUAUCUUUUCCUAGUGUCGGAUGUCUAAUCAUUUAUUAUUUGAAGGGCAGUCACUUAAAAUUGUUAAUCAUGCCGUUUACUUUCAUUUAAACCACGUGUUACAGUAGCACCAACUCUUCGGGCAAAGGAAGAAAGUAGCCUAGACAGUUCUGAGUUGAACAAGGUAUGCUGCAACAACCUGUAAGACAAAGCUAAUUAAUAGCAUGAUGCAGAUAAUGAUACAGGCUUGCAACAGCAAGAGGUAUGGUAAAAAGAUGAAGUACCUUGAGGCUCUGGAUUGAUUGUUGGAGAGGCAUAGAGGCAUAGUCAGUAAGUUAUGUCUUUUUCUUGCAUAUAUUUGUAAAGAAACUAGCUAGAUUAUAUCCAUAUUGUAUGGGAAAAUCUUCUGAUUAUGAUUAUUUUUCAAUUCAGUACAAAGUAUUAUGUCUGUCGAAAUGAAAUACGCUGCAAUGCGAGGUGUUGGGCCCGUGCUUGCACGGGCUAAGCCCAUCUAGUCUAUUUAAUAUUUAUUGGCUUGAAGCUUUUAACAUA